rnacentral:lncRNA from 1 species
UAAAAGACUCAAUUUACUCAGAGCCCAACUUCUUAAUGCACGUUCUCUGAAGUUUAAUUAGGGCUCAAAUUCCCUCUCUUCCACUCACGAGUUCUUUCAGGAGAUGGAGGAAGUUAUAUAUUGACACCCUCUCUUCAUCAUCUUCUCUACAAAGGAAAAAAUUAAUGGUUCCUUCUCCGUCUAAUCUGACAGCGUGGGAUCAUUAGCCAACCAGCUUAUUGCACAAGGCAAAAGGUACAAAGCAGAUAAUAACAAAGAAGAUUCGUUUUACUAUAGUUGUUAAUUCAUUUUAUUUGUUGUUUUCAUUUGUUUUACUCGUAUAGUGAUCUUCUGUACCUUCUGAUCUACUCAUCUCCAACGUUGAUUGAAAGGUAUUUCUCAUAUUUGUGUUCAGUCUAGUUUACUUCUUUCUCGUAACGGGUCGUGUAUUGCUAAUUUUUUUUUUAUCAAUUUCUAAUAAAAUACUCUUUUUUCAUUGUUUCAGCAAAGUGUCAUGGAGAGUGCGCCUACUACGUUCGUGGAUGUAGAGUAUCCUUAGAUGGCUGCAAUACCAAUCACCAAACAAAUACUUAGAAUUUUUAUUAUAUUUAUUUUUUUGUGGAACCACACUAAAUUAUGCAAUGUUUGGAUUAUUGUAUUACUACUUUAGUUUGGUAUGAUUUUGGAUUUUCAAUGUUUUUUCAUAAACGUCUCAUUAGAAUUUGAUUAACGUCAUGUAAGCAUAUAAAUUAUUUAUUAAAUUUUAGUAUUUAAAUUUUUGUAUAGAAAAAAAAAAUAAUUUUCAACAAUAGAAAGUAUUUACUAUUAUUAACUUUUUUUUAACAAUUGAGAUUAUAUUACGGAGGUUAUGAAUCC